rnacentral:rRNA from 1 species
AGAGAGAGACAUGCGCGCAUAUCAAUAAGCGGAGGAAAAGAAACUAACAAGGAUUCCCUUAGUAACGGCGAGUGAAGCGGGAAGAGCUCAAAUUUGAAAUCUUCAAGGUUUUACCUUGACGAAUUGUAGUUUAAAGAAGUGUUUUCUGCUGAAGUUUUGGUAAAAGUUCUUUGGAAUAGGACAUCAUAGAGGGUGAGAAUCCCGUAUUUGACCAUUAUUUUCAGCUUUGUGAUACACUUUCAAAGAGUCGGAUUGUUUGGGAAUGCAGUCCAAAAUGGGUGGUAAAUUUCAUCUAAAGCUAAAUAUUGGCGAGAGACCGAUAGCGAACAAGUACCGUGAGGGAAAGAUGAAAAGAACUUUGAAAAGAGAGUUAAACAGUACGUGAAAUUGUCAAAAGGGAAGCGUUUGACACCAGUGCUGUUUUCUCGAAAAUCAAUUAAAAAUGGCUCGAUUUUGUAUUGCUGAGACCUUAAAAGCUCAUCUGUACAUUUUUCGUGUCUUUUUUAAUGCACUUUUCGUUUAACAAGUCAACAUCAGUUUCUUUUGUUGUAAAAGGGUCAUUGGAAGGUGGCUUUCUUUUCGGAGAAAGUGUUUAUAGCCUUUGGCCUCUGCAAUCGGAGAGACUGAGGUCUGCAGCGUAGACUCUUCGGGGUUAGAUACAUUUGUGCUAAGUUAUAGCUUUUUAUAGACAACUUGUUGACUAUAAUUAGUCUUGUAGCUUACUCGCUUAUGCUAUUUUACCUACGCUUAGGAUGUUGAAGAUGUAGCACAUCAU